GCACCACCGGCGGACGGCUCAGUAACACGUCGGUAACCUACCCUCGGGAGGGGGAUAACCCCGGGAAACUGGGGCUAAUUCCCCAUAGGCCUGAGGUACUGGAAGGUCCUCAGGCCGAAAGGGACUUAUGUCCGCUCGAGGAUGGGCCGGCGGCCGAUUAGGUAGUUGGUGGGGUAAUGGCCCACCAAGCCGAAGAUCGGUACGGGCUGUGAGAGCAGGAGCCAGGAGAUGGACACUGAGACACGGGUCCAGGCCCUACGGGGCGCAGCAGGCGCGAAACCUCCGCAAUGCGGGAAACCGCGACGGGGGGACCCCGAGUGCCGUGGCAACGCCACGGCUUUUCCGGAGUGUAAAAAGCUCCGGGAAUAAGGGCUGGGCAAGGCCGGUGGCAGCCGCCGCGGUAAUACCGGCGGCCCGAGUGGUGGCCGCUAUUAUUGGGCCUAAAGCGUCCGUAGCCGGGCCCGUAAGUCCCUGGCGAAAUCCCACGGCUCAACCGUGGGGCUUGCUGGGGAUACUGCGGGUCUUGGGACCGGGAGAGGCGGGGGGUACCCCUGGGGUAGGGGUGAAAUCCUAUAAUCCCAGGGGGACCGCCAGUGGCGA
rnacentral:rRNA from 1 species